UGGGGAAUAUUGCACAAUGGGCGCAAGCCUGAUGCAGCCAUGCCGCGUGUGUGAAGAAGGCCUUCGGGUUGUAAAGCACUUUCAGCGAGGAGGAAGGUGGUGGACUUAAUACGUUCAUCAAUUGACGUUACUCGCAGAAGAAGCACCGGCUAACUCCGUGCCAGCAGCCGCGGUAAUACGGAGGGUGCAAGCGUUAAUCGGAAUUACUGGGCGUAAAGCGCACGCAGGCGGUUUGUUAAGUCAGAUGUGAAAUCCCCGGGCUCAACCUGGGAACUGCAUUUGAAACUGGCAAGCUAGAGUCUCGUAGAGGGGGGCUAGAAUUCCAGGUGUAGCGGUGAAAUGCGUAGAGAUCUGGAGGAAUACCGGUGGCGAAGGCGGCCCCCCUGGACGAAGACUGACGCUCAGGUGCGAAAAGCGUGGGGCAGCAAACAGGAUUAGAUACCCUGGUAGUCCA
rnacentral:rRNA from 1 species